UACGGAGGGUGCGAGCGUUAAUCGGAAUUACUGGGCGUAAAGCGUGCGCAGGCGGUUUGUUAAGCGAGAUGUGAAAGCCCCGGGCUCAACCUGGGAACCGCAUUUCGAACUGGCAAACUAGAGUCUUGUAGAGGGGGGUAGAAUUCCAGGUGUAGCGGUGAAAUACGUAGAGAUCUGGAGGAAUACCGGUGGCGAAGGCGGCCCCCUGGGAUGAUACUGACGCUCAGGCACGAAAGCGUGGGGAGCAAACAGG
rnacentral:rRNA from 1 species